CCAGUGUCUCAGUCCCUGGGGAGGUGGGCCCAGCCACCUCCUGUCUCUCUGAGAUGCACCCAGAGCCUAUCAAAAAGAAAAAGUACCCUAAAGAAUCCUACCCUGCAGAAAUCUUUCAUUGCUUCAAGAUUCUUUAGAAUUAUGGUGUCUCCAAAGUGAUUUAUUAUUGAUGUACUGAAACACACUUGGGGCUCUCGCUGUUGGCACUGAACAACAUGGAGAGUGAAAAAGACAUCAAUGAAGAAACUAUCAUCAAAAAGCUUAAUUAUUAGUAUUCCUUACAAUGACUCAUAUAAUCCUUACAAUAUAAAUAAAAAUCAAGUUCUCAAACAGCA
rnacentral:lncRNA from 1 species